GACGAACGCUGGCGGCGUGCCUAAUACAUGCAAGUUGAGCGCUGAAGGUUGGUACUUGUACCAACUGGAUGAGCAGCGAACGGGUGAGUAACGCGUGGGGAAUCUGCCUUUGAGCGGGGGACAACAUUGGGAAACGAAUGCUAAUACCGCAUAAAAACUUUAAACACAAGUUUUAAGUUUGAAAGAUGCCAUUUCAUCACUCAAAGAUGAUCCCUCGUUGUAUUAGCUAGUUGGUGAGGUACAGGCUCACCAAGGGGAGGAUACAUAGCCGACCUGAGAGGGUGAGCGGCCACAUUGGGACUGAGACACGCCACAUACUCCUACGGGUGGGGGCCGUAGGGAAUCUUCGGCAAUGGACGAAAGUCUGAGCGAGCAACGCCGCGUGAGUGAAGAAGGUUGUCGGGUCGGAAAACUCUGUUGGUAGAGAAGAACGUUGGUGAGAGUGGAAAGCUCAGCAAGUGACGGUAACUACCCAGAAAGGGACGGCUAACUACGUG
rnacentral:rRNA from 1 species